AGAGCUCGUAGGUGGUUUGUCGCGUUGUUCGUGAAAUCUCACGGCUUAACUGUGAGCGUGCGGGCGAUACGGGCAGACUUGAGUACUGCAGGGGAGACUGGAAUUCCUGGUGUAGCGGUGGAAUGCGCAGAUAUCAGGAGGAACACCGGUGGCGAAGGCGGGUCUCUGGGCAGUAACUGACGCUGAGGAGCGAAAGCGUGGGGAGCGAACAGGAUUAGAUACCCUGGUAGUCCACGCCGUAAACGGUGGGUACUAGGUGUGGGUUUCCUUCCUUGGGAUCCGUGCCGUAGCUAACGCAUUAAGUACCCCGCCUGGGGAGUACGGCCGCAAGGCUAAAACUCAAAGAAAUUGACGGGGGCCCGCACAAGCGGCGGAGCAUGUGGAUUAAUUCGAUGCAACGCGAAGAACCUUACCUGGGUUUGACAUGCACAGGACGCCGGCAGAGAUGUCGGUUCCCUUGUGGCCUGUGUGCAGGUGGUGCAUGGCUGUCGUCAGCUCGUGUCGUGAGAUGUUGGGUUAAGUCCCGCAACGAGCGCAACCCUUGUCUCAUGUUGCCAGCGGGUAAUGCCGGGGACUCGUGAGAGACUGCCGGGGUCAACUCGGAGGAAGGUGGGGAUGACGUCAAGUCAUCAUGCCCCUUAUGUCCAGGGCUUCACACAUGCUACAAUGGCCGGUACAAAGGGCUGCGAUGCCGCGAGGUUAAGCGAAUCCUUUUAAAGCCGGUCUCAGUUCGGAUCGGGGUCUGCAACUCGACCCCGUGAAGUCGGAGUCGCUAGUAAUCGCAGA
rnacentral:rRNA from 1 species